rnacentral:snRNA from 1 species
GAAUAUGAGGACUAUCUGGCUGCAACAUCCAUCACCCUAAUGAUGGCCAGAGUUGAUUCAGCUGAUCUGGCUGUCUAGGCAGGUGUCCCCUUCUUCCCUUCACCACUCCACACAUGCAUCCAUCCUGAAGCUGUACACUUAGUCAAAGAGGACAACUUGUCCCGAUAGAGGAGAACCUUCCCUGAGAAAGGAGUACUGUCCUUCGCUUACGGAUAUAUGAACAGCUGCGUUCCACUGCUAGAACCUCCAAAACAAGCUCUAACAUUGGGGCAGCUAGCCUCAAAGACGGCCCUAAACAAUUCUUGCCUCUUGAUAUU